rnacentral:rRNA from 1 species
GAUGAACGCUGGCGGCGUGCCUAAUACAUGCAAGUCGAGCGAACGGACGAGAAGCUUGCUUCUCUGAUGUUAGCGGCGGACGGGUGAGUAACACGUGGAUAACCUACCUAUAAGACUGGGAUAACUUCGGGAAACCGGAGCUAAUACCGGAUAAUAUUUUGAACCGCAUGGUUCAAAAGUGAAAGACGGUCUUGCUGUCACUUAUAGAUGGAUCCGCGCUGCAUUAGCUAGUUGGUAAGGUAACGGCUUACCAAGGCAACGAUGCAUAGCCGACCUGAGAGGGUGAUCGGCCACACUGGAACUGAGACACGGUCCAGACUCCUACGGGAGGCAGCAGUAGGGAAUCUUCCGCAAUAGGCGAGAGCCUGACGGAGCAACGCCGCGUGAGUGAUGAAGGUCUUCGGAUCGUAAAACUCUGUUAUUAGGGAAGAACAUAUGUGUAAGUAACUGUGCACAUCUUGACGGUACCUAAUCAGAAAGCCACGGCUAACUACGUG